rnacentral:tRNA from 1 species
UCCCUGAAGGUCCACUGGUUAGGACCCUAUGCUUCCAAUGCAGGGGGAACGGGUUCAAUCCCUGGUCAGGGAG